rnacentral:lncRNA from 1 species
CCCCAGUGGGUUUCAGUCCCUCCCAGCAGAGCACCCCAUUCUCUGUCCUCAAUCCCCGAAGGCAGACAGGUGUCAUCCUCUCCCCGCUCCUCCCCAGCCCUCUGGACCUCCUUUAACCAUACAUGUGAGCCCAACUACUCGGGGAGAGGAGCUGAAGUUGUUUAUCCGUUAUUUUAAAAAAUCCUUUCUGUCUACAUCUGUCUUUUUCCAGUACUCAAAUUUCAACCCCUACAUCAUGUACCACCCCCACCCCCCCUACUCUUUCCUGGGCAGGUCCGUAGACUGGCCUGCGGAGGUGCCUGGACGGUGCCCUUGUUCUCUGUCCUCUGACUCCCAAGGGCCUGGUUGGAAUUCUGGGAAGGGCCAGAUCUGCACUGGGUCCCUCAGGAUAUCCCAGGGCAGCCCCCUCUCUGCCCACCCUAACUUCAGCAGCUCCAGAGCAGGAAGGUUGGGGUCCUAGGGUCACCUGCCACAGAGAGGAAACCAGAGCCCAGAGCCCCGUAGACUUGGCCAUGGGAAGGACACAAGCCACUCCCAUCUUCACUGGGUCACUAGAUAAAUGGGCUGGAGUAACACACCCAAAUGAUGAAUGCGUUGCUGCCAUAAUCCAAAUAGGCCCACUAGGCAUUGUGCCUCUUUCUUGGUUGUAGGAGGGGCCAAAUGCAGCAACCUAUCCUUCAUCUUAGAAGGAAUGUUUCAACAGGGGUGGCAGCUGAGGGAGGUGCAGGUGCAGAUUCUUGGACAGGCGAUUUAAUGAAGAGUUGUCUCUGGAAAAACUGGAAAGACAUGGGAAUGUUGAGUCAUUUGGGGCUAAUACAAAUAACACUGCCAUUCUUGUGAUAGAAUUUCUGUGGGUGUCUGUUUCGUUUCUCUAGGGAAAAUAGCUGGACCCACCAAGUCACAGAUUCUCUUACUGAGCCCUCCACACUGGGGGCUAUUCUGUGGGUAGACCCUGGGGGUGCCAGGUGCUGUCCAGGGAAGUGUGCUCAGCAGAGAGGUUGUUGUGUUGGAAGGGAAUGAGGGGGACCUGGAGAUCUGCUGGCUUGUCUGCACUGACCCAGGAGGCUGACCCUGAGCAAUGAGAGUGUUGCAAACUCCCAGGCAAAGUCCAGACUGGAGUGUGCCCGGGAUGCAUUUCCUACCGCAUUUUGCAGAGGGCAGCAUGAACCCCAGCAUACCUUAGAAUCCAGAACUGAGAAUCAGGGGAAUCUGGAGUUUCAUAAACCCAAGAUUUCAGAUUCUGAGAAUCUCAGAAUUUAGAAAUGUAGAGGCUCAGAGCCCGGAAAGUAGAGCCACCAGGUAGUUUAUGACUUCCAGUCUAACAGAAUUGUCUUCAAAAUACAGGAAAAAAAAUUAAAAAGACGAACCUCCCCUGGGAGCCCAGUACAUGGAUCAGAAGAAGGCUGGGCAGCAACUCUGGCUGGAGGCAGGUGGCGGCUUCUAAGACCUCUCUGCUGACCACCUUCCCCCAGGCAUUUUGACCCCUCAUUCCCUAUCAGGCAGCCCAGGACACUG